AUUGAACGCUGGCGGCAGGCCUAACACAUGCAAGUCGAGCGAGCGGGGGGCGGGUGAGUAAAGUCUGUGGAACUGCCUCAGGGAGGGGGAUAAAUACUGGAAACGGGGUAGAAUAUCGCGUACCAACAGAGAUGUCCAGAUGGGAUUUGCUAGUGGGUGGGGUAACUGCUCACCUAGGCGACGAGCCCUAGCUGGUCUGUGAGGAUGAGCAGGCGCACUGGAACGGAGACACGGUCCAGACUCCUACGGGAGGCAGCAGUGGGGAAUAUUGCACAAUGGGCGCAAGCCUGAUGCAGCCAUGCCGCGUGUGUGAAGAAGGCCUUCGGGUUGUAAAGCACUUUCAGCGGGGAGGCGUUACCCGCAGAAGAAGCACCGGCUAACUCCGUGCCAGCAGCCGCGGUAAUAC
rnacentral:rRNA from 1 species